rnacentral:lncRNA from 1 species
CCAGAACCCAGGAGGUCCAUGGGCCUGUCCGACAGAGGCUGGCACCUGGGCAUGGCCUGCUGGCUGGCAGGAGCCCCCUUACCUAGCCUGGGCAAGGGAGACAUCAUUUUCACUUGCUGGCUUUUGAGAAAGUGACCCUGUCCUCCUGUUCCUGGUUCAUACCUGUUGGUGGAGAUGUUAGAGAGGAGUGGAGAUAAAAACUUGAUGAAGUCCGACACAGCUGGCUGGGAGUGAACCUGGAUGCUCCUAAGGACCCCCCAGGAAAGUAAGCACCUGGCAUGUGUAUCAGAAGACCCCCUAUGGCCUCACACACAGGCACCGGCUUCUUCUUGACAACUUCCCUGGGUGACUCUUAGAACUCAAUGGCCACGUCCAGCUCAGAGAUCAGAAGCAGCGCGCGUCCCAGAGCGCUACCAUAAUGAUGCCGUCCAGGUCCACAGUACAACCGGCUGCCUUGGUCAUUGCCGUAAUGACAGUACAUUCCAACUUCUCAAGGUAGGACAAUCCAGGGCAUGCUCUGGGAGGCCAGGAGUGACUGGAAGGCU